UACGUAGGUGGCAAGCGUUGUCCGGAUUUACUGGGCGUAAAGAGCGCGCAGGCGGUCGUUCAAGUCGCGUGUGAAAGCCCCCCGGCUCAACUGGGGAGGGUCACGCGAUACUGAUCGACUCGAAGGCAGGAGAGGGUAGUGGAAUUCCCGGUGUAGUGGUGAAAUGCGUAGAUAUCGGGAGGAACACCAGUGGCGAAGGCGACUACCUGCCUGUUCUUGACGCUGAGGCGCGAAAGCUAGGGGAGCAAACGGGG
rnacentral:rRNA from 1 species